GGAUCUCGUUCUUGAUUAUUAAUCAAGAAUUGCUUGAUCUUGAUUAAUUGAAACUAUGGUGAAAACUGAAAAUUGGCAAGACAAGAAAGAUUCUUUGUUCAUUAUAUGAAAUUGGAUUGUGCCUUUGGCCCUAUUUGCCUUUAUGAAUCCGAAUGAGAGCCUUGUCGCCUCAAUGAAUUUUAAAUCCAAAUGAGACCCUAAUUGUCUUAAUGACUUUUAAAUUUGGAUGAGACUCUAGUUGCCUUGACG
rnacentral:lncRNA from 1 species